UAAGAUCCUGUGCAAUCAUCCCCAAACUGAGCAGGUCAAGAAAGUCCUAACAGAGCUCCAGGCCAGCAUCAACAAGAUCUUGCUGGACGUGAUUGGUUCUCAAUAUCAGA